UUGACUUUGAAAAAUCAAUAUCAAGGGCAUCCUGUCUUCAGGAUAAAUUCACUGGGAUGAGAUCACUGGACUAAAAGAUGUGAAUGCAUAUAUGGUUCUUUGGGUUCUUAUUGCCAUUACGUGUUCCAUGAAGACAAUAGCAAUGGACAUGAAGCCUGCUGGGUGUGAAUGGACUGGUUUCACUAAGACUUUGUCAGCUCUGGAUUUUUGUUGCAUUUUAAGUAUAAAAAGAAAUGUCAAAGUUACUCUACUUUUCACUGCAUCUUAAAGUAGUUUUAAAGUAGUUUUAUCUCAUUAAUUUAUACCAAUAAGAAUAAAUUGGGCUCCUUCAUAACGGAAUAGUUUCCUUUCAAGAUCUAAUUUUCUGUACUUGUAUAGUCAGUACUAAAUUAGGCUCUGGAUUUUAAAGUGAAGCAUAGUACUGAGGCAAUUAUCUCUCUACUCAGUGCUCUAUU
rnacentral:lncRNA from 1 species